rnacentral:rRNA from 1 species
GACGAACGCUGGCGGCGUGCUUAACACAUGCAAGUCGAACGGUGAAGGGAAGCUUGCUUCCCGGAUCAGUGGCGAACGGGUGAGUAACACGUGGGCAAUCUGCCCCAGACUUUGGGAUAACUACUCGAAAGAGUAGCUAAUACCGAAUAUUCAGCCUUGCAGGCAUCUGCGAGGCUGGAAAGUUUCUCGGUCUGGGAUGAGCCCGCGGCCUAUCAGCUAGUUGGUGAGGUAAUGGCUCACCAAGGCGACGACGGGUAGCCGGCCUGAGAGGGCGACCGGCCACACUGGGACUGAGACACGGCCCAGACUCCUACGGGAGGCAGCAGUGGGAAUAUUGCGCAAUGGGCGAAAGCCUGACGCAGCAACGCCGCGUGCGGGAUGAAGGCCUUCGGUUGUAAACCGCUUCAGCAGGAAGAAGCGAAAGUGACGGUACCUGCAGAAGAAGCACCGGCUAACUACGUGCCGAGCAGCCGCGGUAA